rnacentral:misc_RNA from 1 species
GUAGAAGAUAGGUAACCCUCCAGUUGUAGUGGAGGGUCAACUGUACUAAUCUUUAUUAGCAAAGAAGCUUGUCUCUUCUGCAUAAUGUCUAUUAAAUGGUUUGGAAUGGGAAAAGAAAUUCGUGUUGGCUUAUAACUUUAUUUGGACAACGCUUGCAUUCUUGAAUGGACCAAAUGGAGGCACUCUAUGGAGGGGAAAUGCAGAGAGUUAUGCAAUAUGAGUCAUCCUUAUAAAAACAAAGUUUAUACAACAUAAAUUAUUAGAAAAUAUGUAGUUCAACUGGCCCUUUGCACUUGCUUUCUUCUGCUUCCUUUCUUCCUCAGUAUUGAGUAACAUGACUUUUCAAAUUGGAAUUAAGCUGUUUGAAU